CAAACCUCAAGCUCCGGCUUGCUGUUGGACGUGGUCCCGACGGGACCUGUCUCUAACCGGUCGACGGCACCGUUCGGUCCCAGGCGUAGCAAUGUGAUCGCUUAGGGUCUCCGGGCGGCUGUCAGUCCAUCCAACCCAACCAGAA
rnacentral:misc_RNA from 1 species